UAAAACCCUUCCCUUGCUUCGAAAGCUAGAUUCUUCUUCUUCCAACUCCUUCUAAACCCAAAAUAAGCCAUCUACAGCUUCUUUGCAUCUUGCUCUAGUGCAACUAGUGACCUGAAAAGCCCAAUAUUCGACAUCGAUAGUUUCGUUUGGCGGGAGAUUUGAUUUCAGACUCUCAACCCGCGAUAGCAUGACCUGUUAGCUUACUCUACUCUUUUUAUUCUCCGGACGCUCUCAACGCUGUUGUUUUCCUCUGAGUGUGAUUGUUUCCAGAGCUUUUAGUGCAAGAAGCAGUUGGCGGAGGAAAUAGAAUGAAUUUUGAAUUUAUGGGUUUGGUUUGAUUGAGUUUUUGAGUUUGUCCUCCCUGAUGUCUGUAGACAGUCAUCUCAGCCUCUGUUAUUCUCCGAUUCUCAUCGACGAUG
rnacentral:misc_RNA from 1 species